AGGGGAUUAUAGUUUCAAAAUGGAAGAAAUGAUCAGCAUAAUUAGCCAGCUGCAACAAGCUCAAAGAUGUACAAAUGAGGAGCUUCAGAAAAACCAAGUUGAAAUGGAAGCAUUGAGGGAAGAAUUAGACAAAUUGAACCUGGAAACGAUGCAGUUGGAGGAAACCUUGACCAUGAAGCAGGGAACUUUGCUGCUCCUUCAAGAACGCCACAGAGAGGAGGAAAAGAAAGCCCUAAG